GGCCAGCCAGCUUUCUUCCCUCAUGUAAGUUUCCCUUUGCACAGAACCCAGAUGAAACGUCUUAGAACCUUGCAGGCGGUCUGUCCCAGAAGAGCACGCUCAGAUGACAGGAGUGGAGAGAGGCAUUUGUAGCUUUUCAGUUGGUGAAACCAACAUAGUGUAAGUAGGAAAUCUGGGUUAUGCCUGUCCUCAGCACACUACAGCUGAACCACACAUGCCAACAGGCGGCAGGGCUUGGCCGGUGAGGAACCUUGUUCCCUCUCUCGGUUACUCAUCAUGUCUCUGCUCUCGCAACCAUAUAAAACAGGAGAAGAAAAUGGUAUUGUCUUGGUGCUUUCUUUCCUUUAUAAGACCAUCCCCGAGUUUGUGAGGAGUGUCCACCCCAGUAGGUGUCACUGUCCAGAGCACGUCUUUAUGAUCGUAAUAAAGCAACCCCUGAAGAAUCCAGGAAGUCUCUUGAGUGUACUUGAGUACUCUGCCUUUCUUGGAGUGGCGUCUGUCACAUUUUGGACAGAAGCAUUGUUACUUCAAGAGUGACAGAUGCACUUCAUUCUUAGUCUUAGAGUUUGCUGCCCAUUCCCAUAAUAUGUGUGGGUGCAUGCUCUUUGUAAAUGAAAAUAGAUGAUAAAGUAAACGCUGCACCUCAGGCCUUCACAACCAAAAAUGACUGUGCUGUUCAUACCACGUCCUUCCAUAGUGUCCAAUCAGAUGUGCUUCUCAGCCACUGGGCCUGGGUUUUAUUUUUUGUUUUUUUUUGUUUUUUUUGCAUUUCCCCAGUCUCAUUUCUUCCUUUCUAACCUUAGAUUCUGCUGAGUUAGCCCACUUUGCUGAGCUGUGUAUCUAGAACUUUGUGUGAGACCUGCCCAGACAUUUCAUUCCCUCUUAAAGCCAGAAGAUCUUGGUGAUGAAUGUGAGCAGCAGUGAGGAGGAGAGGUGUAAUCCUUGGGAGCCCUAGAGUCUGGGCUUUAUGUGGGAGGCUUUGAGGGGUGUGUGUGUCAGACCAGUAGGUGGUAGGCUUCAGCUUCUAACCUCUAUGUGUCCUUCCUUUGCCCCCUCCAUGCACUGCCCACUAAUGGGUACAAAUAACAGAACACUAGGGGUUUGUUUUAGAGAAUCUCCCAAGCCCUUCCAUAGGGAGCCUCCCAGAGGGAGAUAACUCCCCAAACUACUGAACCUCCCGGCCUGCUUGCAUGGCCCCCUGGAGUCUUUCAGUGCAGCUAGAAAGAGAGGAACCCACAGUUGUGUUGUUGUAAAGUUGAUGGUUACUGUGUCUGCUGUACUCCAGAGCUCUGCCAUUCACCUUCUUCACUGUGACCCAAUGAGAGUUCUGCCAUGAACUCCCCUCCAUCCCCCCACC
rnacentral:lncRNA from 1 species